CUUAAGCUCCCUCUAGCGGAAUAAGUGGCAUUUCAUCCCAGUAUUCUCCCAAACGUCCGUUUCUAGCCAUAUUUGACUCUUAUUUUGAUGUUUCAAGUAAAUCUUGAAACCGGAAGUGCAGUGAACACUUCAAAAUAAAUGCACUACUUGUAGGACCUGCCGUAGUAUGAAUGGGAUUUAUCCUUAGCAAUAUUUUUUUCUUUAUUUUAACAACAAAAAUAAAUUGGUUCACCUUCGUUACAAUACAUAUUUUUUGUAUUAGGCAAUAAGAACAUGUUUCUGACACCAAACGAUGCCAACUUGCAGCAAAAGGUGUCUUAAGAGUGAACAUCUCGCGACAGGAGCUCAAUAUUUCAGCCUGUUGCUCGUCGUAUACUAAAAAAGUGUUCCAAUAAUAAACACUUCGCUGUGGUCACGGGCUGUAUGCAUUUAUAUUCUUAGCAGGAAUGUGAAUAGCCUCGCUUCUAACUUGUGGUGUCAUGUUUGUUUACAUACAUGCGUAGCGUCGGUGUUGAAGCGCGCUCCAGUGAGGAGGAGCGCGCACGCUGCGUCGAGGCUGCGUCACAGGUUUACAACCACGACGUCACCCUGCCCGCUGACUUCGUGCUUCCGGUGUUAUGGCCGCCUGCAUGGAAGGGGAGAGUUAUGUGUUAUUUGUGUGGAUAAACGUGUAGUUAGCCGGGUGAAGAUGGCGGUGACACGGCUGGUUCGGUUGGUCGCUUGUGGCUCGGCGGCCCGCGGGACUUUCCGCGGUUACAGCAAGGUGUCACCAUCUUCAUCUGAGCGUCUGCUUGUUUUUGAGUCUUUAAAGGCCAAAGGAGCUCAUCAAAGAGUCGCAGAAAAGCCUCUCAGCAUCCAUGUGGGCGAUGGCCGGACGAUAAAGGGAACGGCAAGUGUGACCACGCCUCUCGCAGUUGCACAAAGUGUGCGGAUAAAAGGGGCUCUGGUGAGUAAAGUGAAUGGGGAACUCUGGGAACUUGGGCGACCUCUAGAGGCGGACUGUGAACUGCAGCUUCUUGGGUUCGACACUGUUGAAGGAAAACUGGUAAAUACAGUCUGA
rnacentral:lncRNA from 1 species